rnacentral:rRNA from 1 species
GCAAGUCGAACGAGAACCUCCCUUCGGGGAGGGGAAAGUGGCGCACGGGUGAGUAACACGUGGGUAAUUUACCUUUGGGUGGGGAACAACAGCCGGAAACGGCUGCUAAUACCGCAUAAUGCAGCGGCUCGACAUCGAGACAGUUGUUAAAGCGGGGGAUCGCAAGACCUCGCGCCUAAAGAGAAGCCCGCGGCAGAUUAGCUAGUUGGUAGGGUAAUGGCCUACCAAGGCGACGAUCUGUAACCGGCCUGAGAGGGCGGUCGGUCACACUGACACUGACAUACGGGUCAGACUCCUACGGGAGGCAGCAGUCGGGAAUUUUGGGCAAUGGGCGAAAGCCUGACCCAGCAACGCCGCGUGAAGGAUGAAGCUUUUCGGAGUGUAAACUUCACAAGAAUGGGAAGAAUAAGUUUAGGCUAAUACCCUGAACGAUGACGGUACCAUUUGUAAGCUCCGGCUAACUCCGUGCCAGCAGCCGCGGUAAUACGGGGGGAGCAAGCGUUGUUCGGAUUUACUGGGCGUAAAGGGCGCGUAGGCGGCGCGACAAGUCACUUGUGAAAUCUCUGAGCUCAACUCAGAACGGUCAAGUGAUACUGUCGUGCUAGAGUGCGGAAGGGGCAACUGGAAUUCUUGGUGUAGCGGUGAAAUGCGUAGAUAUCAAGAGGAACACCUGCGGCGAAGGCGGGUUGCUGGGCCGACACUGACGCUGAGGCGCGAAAGCUAGGGGAGCGAACGGGAUUAGAUACCCCGGUAGUCCUAGCCUUAAACGAUGAAUGCUUGGUGUCCGGGGUUAGAUAGUCCCCGGGUGCCGUC